UACAGAGGGUCCCGAGCGUUGUUCGGAUUCACUGGGCGUAAAGGGUGCGUAGGUGGUGAGGUAAGUCGGAUGUGAAAUCUCGGAGCUUAACUCCGAAAUGGCAUUGGAAACUACCUCGCUCGAGGGUUGGAGGGGGGACUGGAAUGCUUGGUGUAGCAGUGAAAUGCGUAGAUAUCAAGCGGAACACCAGUGGCGAAGGCGAGUCCCUGGACAACUCCUGACACUGAGGCACGAAAGCUAGGGGAGCAAACAGG
rnacentral:rRNA from 1 species